rnacentral:rRNA from 1 species
AGUUAGGUCAGUUCGGCUGGAUCGGUGACAGGUGCUGCAUGGCUGUCGUCAGCUCGUGUCGUGAGAUGUUGGGUAAGUCCCGCAACGAGCGCAACCCUUGUCCUUAGUUGCCAGCAUUAAGUUGGGCACUCUAAGGAGACUGCCGGUGUUAAACCGGAGGAAGGUGGGGAUGACGUCAAGUCCUCAUGGCCCUUAUGUCCAGGGCUACACACACGCUACAAUGGCCGGCACAGAGGGUCGCCAACCCGCGAGGGGGAGCCAAUCCAAGAAAGCCGGUCUCAGUUCGGAUUGCAGGCUGCAACCCGCCUGCAUGAAGAUGGAGUUGCUAGUAACCGCAGGUCAGCUAUACUGCGGUGAAUACGUUCCCGGGCUU